rnacentral:lncRNA from 1 species
ACUUGUAAGUAUAUAAAAUAUGAACAAAUGAAAAGAUGUUACUUACAAAACCAGCUUUUUAUAUAAAAGGAGAAGGCAAGGCUGGAAGAUUACAAGAUUCAGAGGUAAAGAGAAUUUUAGAGAGACUAAAAUUGCGACUGACCUCCAACAAUACAAGUGAGAGUCUUUUAUAGACCUCAGAUAAAGUAAAAGCAUCUUGUGCUU